rnacentral:rRNA from 1 species
AACGAACGCUGGCGGCAGGCCUAACACAUGCAAGUCGAGCGCCCUGUUUAUCAGGGAGCGGCGAACGGGUGAGUAACGCGUGGGAACAUGCCCUUUGGUACGGAAUAGCCUCGGGAAACUGGGAAUAAUACCGUAUAAGCCCUACGGGGGAAAGAUUUAUCGCCAAAGGAUUGGCCCGCGUUGGAUUAGCUAGUUGGUAGGGUAACGGCCUACCAAGGCUACGAUCUAUAGUUGGUUUGAGAGGAUGGUCAGCCACACUGGGACUGAGACACGGCCCAGACUCCUACGGGAGGCAGCAGUGGGGAAUAUUGGACAAUGGGGGCAACCCUGAUCCAGCCAUGCCGCGUGAGUGAAGAAGGCCCUAGGGUUGUAAAGCUCUUUCAACUGAGAAGAUGAUGACGGUAUCAGUAGAAGAAGCCCCGGCUAACUUCG